AACGUACACGUAAAAAAUUACAUAGAUUGGAAGAAAGAAUUGUAAUCAUUGAUCUCAAAGAGAAAUUACACACAGAGAAAUGGAGAGAGAAGCGAGGAGGAAGAGGAUAAUGGAGGGAGGGUCCGAUCGUUUGGCACUCAUCUCGGGCCGGGUUCACAGCAUGGACCCGCUGUCUUCCCCGAAUUCAUUUUCCGGCCAGUCAUCCACAUAUUCUACACCUGGUGAUAAUUAUCGUGGACACGCAUACUCUGAGUCAGAUUCCGGAAUAAACAAUACUGUUUUCUUUCCAGAUCAUCGUCAUGGUGGUGAUGACACAUCUAAUAUACAGUCGAGACACGAUAUCUUUGAUGAUGGCGAUUCUCAAGUAAAAGUAACUAAAUUUGAAGCCAAAGUUGCUGAAGUGGAGCAAUCCGAGGUAAAAUCAGUCCUCACACCACUUUCUGCUGCUAAACCUGGAAAUGAAGUAGAAUCAUCACUUGUGGCUACAACAGUCUCCAAGGCUUCAUAUGAUGCAAAUGCAAAGCCAUUUCAAAAACCAUUUGGCAACCUUUUCAGUUCAAGAACUCCAAGAGAAAUAAAUUCCUGCAUCAUCACCUCGGAGAAUACACGAGUUUUCUGUUCUAUUGUGAUAGCAAUUUUGGUAGUUCUAUCGCAUGUUAAUUUUCCCUGUAAAGUGGUGAAGUCGAAGAGCCUUAUUGCUUGGAGACCUCUUUAUGUAGUUUUGCUGACUGAUUUGAUGAUAGUAGCUGCUCGACUGGCACUCUAUGUGCAACGAGGUUCUGAUAAGGCGGAACAAGAUGAGGAACAAAGAUUUCAGGAAGAUGGGCAUAAUUGGGGAUCAGCCAUUAAGUUGUUGGAAUUCGGUUUGGUUUUGCAUCAGACGGUUCGUGCUGUAUUCAUUGAUUGCAGUUUUUACCUGGUGAUUGUAGUAUGUGGCCUUUCUUUAGUGUAGAAACACUUGCUGCAGCCUGCAUUCAUGAACGCUGGCUCCUGGGUUCACUUUGCUCUCGUACCCAGCUACAAUCUAUAACAUUUCAAACCAAGAUCUUUCUCCAUCAUUCAGUUGAUCAGAGCAAGUCUCUCAUUCAAAUAGUAAACUAAAUUAUUGUAUUGAUCUGCUUUUAAGAUCUCUAAAUUGGCAAGGAUGGAAUUGACGAGUUACCAGCAAUAAAUGAACGAGGAUCAACGAGCAGAGCUGGACCCAGUUUGACUUUAAACUGAAGAAUAAAAGAUCAAUUAUUUAUUCUUAAGAACUAAUCUAAUAAAGUCCUUAAGAAACCAAAUUGUACCACCUCUAUAAUUUCAACUACCGGUGUUCACCUCCAUAAUUUCAACCUGUCAUCUAAAUAUUUUUGAAAGGUUUGAGUUCCCUUUAUUAGAAAAUACAGUAGCAACGACAAUGCCAAUGUAGGUUC